rnacentral:rRNA from 1 species
AUUGAACGCUGGCGGCAUGCCUAACACAUGCAAGUCGAACGGCAGCGCGGGUAGCUUGCUACCUGGCGGCGAGUGGCGGACGGGUGAGUAAUGCAUAGGAAUCUGCCCAGUAGCGGGGGAUAGCCCGGGGAAACCCGGAUUAAUACCGCAUACGCCCUACGGGGGAAAGCAGGGGAUCUUCGGACCUUGCACUAUUGGAUGAGCCUAUGUCUGAUUAGCUUGUUGGUGGGGUAACGGCCUACCAAGGCGACGAUCAGUAGCUGGUCUGAGAGGACGAUCAGCCACACCGGAACUGAGACACGGUCCGGACUCCUACGGGAGGCAGCAGUGGGGAAUAUUGGACAAUGGGGGAAACCCUGAUCCAGCAAUGCCGCGUGUGUGAAGAAGGCCUGCGGGUUGUAAAGCACUUUCAGUUGGGAAGAAACAGCAGCCGGCUAAUAUCCGGCUGUCUUGACGUAACCAACAGAAGAAGCACCGGCUAACUCCGUGCCAGCACG